UUAGCUGUAAGUACUUCCUGGUUACCUCACAGGACACUCCCCUCACUCUCAUUAGCUGUAAGUACUUUCUGGUUACCUCACAGGACACUCUUUCAAUUGCUGGAAGUUCUAUUGUAACUGCCCCAAGUGUUGCUAACUUCCCCCAUGGACUCUCAUGGACCACUUGCUGAUACGACAGAUGAUGUUGCGACUGGGAUUUCAUUAAUACUUCCAUUGAAAUGAUGGCUACAAAUCCAAUGCAGUUUGUUGAAAUUCCAGGAAGACGGCACAGCAAAUAGGAGAAAAUGCCAGACUGUCUCCCAAAUCAGGAAGAGUAAACGCUUUUACAGGAACAAAUGAAGGAGUCAUUAGGAGAAGUUGCCAAGUCAGAAUUCCAUGGCUGUUGCUGUUUGCUGCACACACAAGACUCACUCCUCUCAGUAAUUACCAGGGAAAUGGACCAUCAAGUGACCUGACUGUAACGGCACGAGGAAAUGCCUUUGGGGUGUAAAAUCUGCUUUGAUAUAACUGAGUAAUCACAAUCCCAUCCCAAUGAACAGCUAGCACAAUUUGCUUGAGUCCAUCAACACUGCAUGAACUUGCCUCCAGUGUGACUCACAUGCCAGAUCCACAGCGGCCAUUGGUGCACAAGCGACACAAGCGACACAACGACACACUUAUGGUGACAAAUUGGAGAGCAAUGUCAAACCACUUUGGCAGCAGAAAGUGUGCUUGUGCCCUCACAACUAAAAUAUACUUAUAAAUGUUUGGUAAAUAAAUAAAUGUUAAA